UGCCUACCUGAGGCCUUCUUAAGGCCUUUCUUGUCUGUGGGGUUCAGAUUACAUUUUCUAAGGAACUACCUUGGGAAGAAAACUGCCCUCUUCCCUUGCUUAUGCUUCAAAACCUGCAAAAAGUAUUCUAUUGUUUAUGACAGACAGCUUCUGAAUCUGAGGAGAUUUAAAGGAUGUAGACAGUAUCUUGUGUAUGACAAGCCAUCAGUGUUGUGCCCCAUGUCCUCUUCCUGGCACGCCUCCUAGACCUGAACUGUCCCUGGGAUCCUGGGAAAUGGCCAGCAUGUUGCUCUCAGUGUGACUUCAGAGGAUUUUCAGGCCUCCUUAUCUUCGGUAAAUGUACUAAGGAGGAAGGAGCCACCCUGUUGCUGUUCAAAUAACUCUUGAAGCUUUGCAAAAAGGACAAAGUCAUUGCCCAGGUCCAGCAAACCUCUUGCAGACAUCUCAGUCCCACCUCAGUACAUUGCCUGCAAAAACACAAAUAUAGUUGAAAAUGCCUGAGAUGAACUUUCGUUUGAAGUGUGGUCCCUCCGUGCUCUGUUGGCAACAUAAAAGGGUGGGCACUUGGAAUCUGUCCCUUGGGUAGACCCUUUCCAGGAGGACACCACAAAUUUUAUUUCUAAUGUUUCUUAGAAAAGAUAAUAGCUCUCUGCAGCGUAUCUGUCAGCGUGGGCUCUAACAGGGGCCUCAGUGGAGGUGUUAGGAACUCUACAUGCUCUGACAGCCUUCUGCUUGGAACACCCGGAUCCAGCACAGACCGCAGCACCGUCUGUUUACAGCAGAUAGGAGCCAAGCCGUUCCUGCACAUGAGGAAUGCAGUGACUUAAAAAUUCUUCCCUACACAAGCUUAAGAACAAAAGCACAAAGCAAUACAGCCAGUCCAUGGGCUAGCUGAGUAAAAGCCAAACAAGUGUUUUGCUGGCUCCAUCUGCUGGACCCUGAUGAUGUGAACGAUACAGUGAAGCUUGGCUGGACUCACACGGAACAAACACGUCUGAAACUGAAGCACUCCAUGCGUGUCAUGGAAACCGUGAGAAAAGAGAUAGGAACAUCCGUCCCCAGAAUGCAUAAGUGUAAAGACUAAUGAUUUGGAGUUGCAUUCAUUAUGGCUUUUCUAGUUGUUUUGGGACACCAAGAACAACCCAAACCAAUCAAAUUUACAAGAGAACACAUCCAUAUAAUGUUGGCUUUUACUUUGUCAUGUGCUGGUGUAUAGGAAAUGAGACCUUGAAGAUAGUUUAUCUCAGUCUGAUUAAUACAAAGUUAAUGAAUUAUGCAUAAAACUCUAAAUGGUUUCCCAGAUACAGAAACAAAAGGGUUGCUUCUGAAGUAGCAGACCAUGGAGGAUAAUUUCAGACUUUUAGAACAUGUGUUAUUCAUGCAUUCCAGGCAACAACUCAAUGGCUGAUGACCGAGCCACACCUGCUGGACUUUGAGGACUUUCAACUGUCUUAUUACACUUAUUAAAGUUCCACUGUCCCCUAAAUUCAUCUCCUUUUCACAGAAAAGGUAGAAAUAAAUUUACACGGAAGCUUCUUAUUGGGUACUGUGUCCUGCACAGAUUACUUUCUUCGAGUAGUCACAUACCUACAGUUAAGAAUGUGAUUUUUCUGCCUCAGAUGCUUGAUACAUUUAAGAAAGUUCAUGUUUUUAACCAAGUCAUUGUGGGACAUCGUUUUGGGGAAAAGAAACAAGUGUGUUUCAUGGGAGUGGUGGUACUUCCCACUGAAAAGGGCCUUUGCUGCUGUUGUGACACAGCUGUCUCUAUAUCUGAGAGCGUUUCAGUGUUCUAAAACCGAACAGAACAAAUUGAGAAGCCAUGGAAACAGUGACUAAGAUGAGAAAAUAUUUGCUUUCCUUGCUCUCUCUUCUGCCAUGGUUGCACAAAUUCUUGGAAUGACUGGAAAGAAAGUUCUAAAAAAUUUCGUGAUUCCGAGAUUCUCCGUCACGUAAGGAUAUUCUUUAAUGAAACCAUAGGGAAUACAGCUACCAGGGGAAUAUGCGACGAUUAGCCUCCAUACAUAGAAUUGCUGCACAAUCUGGUAGUUAGAACAUCUAAGAGUAAACAGUUAAUGCUGUGGACUACCUGAUGGUAGUUGAUUGCAAAUUACAGGUUUUACUGUAGGGAUGUCUCACGUUCUUUUAAUUUUAUGGAAGAUGUAGUAACAGCUGGUUUCUGAAGUUAAAGAAAAACGUUUCCUAAAUAGAAUUAUUUCCUGAGUCGGUGAUGCAAUUAUGGCUAGCUGGAAUAUUUUAAUUAUGAUUUCCAUUUGUAAUCAAAUAUUACAAAAGCAUGAGAGAGGGACUAAGAUCUCAUUACGUAUAAAAAACAGUCUGUCUGAACCAUAUACCAGGAAAUGGAAUUAGAAACCUAUCAGUCUAUUACAGAGAGAUGAGGGAAAGAAACCAGAGAACUGUGAAGACUUGGACCAACUGGCAGCAUUAUGAUCCCCAAACAAGCUGUUAGAUGCAGAAAUGUGAAGCACUGUAAACCAUCAGUUCAAGAAAUUGUUUUGUGGGAGUUCAGAGCUGUAGUGAAGUUUGACAUGGAAUGAAGAACUUUCUACAUACCUGCUCUCCAGAACUAGAUUCAUGGGGAAGUCGUGUCACACUGUGUCACGUUGUGGUUUUGUGACUUUGAGAAAGCAUCUUGUCAGUUCAACCAUAUGAGAAACUAUAUUUUGUGAGAUGCUAAGCACAACCAAGGAGAAUAGGCAGACAGACAACUGCAACUCCCCAGAGGAGAAGGAGCAGCAUGAUUGA